CCUACGGGUGGCUGCAGUGGGGAAUAUUGGACAAUGGGCGAAAGCCUGAUCCAGCCAUGCCGCGUGUGUGAAGAAGGCCUUCGGGUUGUAAAGCACUUUCAGUGGGGAAGAAAGCCUUGGGGCUAAUACCCUCGAGGAAGGACAUCACCCACAGAAGAAGCACCGGCUAACUCCGUGCCAGCAGCCGCGGUAAUACGGAGGGUGCGAGCGUUAAUCGGAAUUACUGGGCGUAAAGCGCGCGUAGGCGGUCUGAUAAGCCGGUUGUGAGAGCCCCGGGCUCAACCUGGGAACGGCAUCCGGAACUGUCAGGCUAGAGUGCAGGAGAGGAAGGUAGAAUUCCCGGUGUAGCGGUGAAAUGCGUAGAGAUCGGGAGGAAUACCAGUGGCGAAGGCGGCCUUCUGGACUGACACUGACGCUGAGGUGCGAAAGCGUGGGUAGCAAACAGGAUUAGAUACCCUGGUAGUC
rnacentral:rRNA from 1 species